rnacentral:rRNA from 1 species
GACGAACGCUGGCGGCGUGCUUAACACAUGCAAGUCGAACGAAGUGGCGAACGGGUGAGUAACGCGUAAUCACCCUGCCCUUCAGAGGGGCACAACAGUUGGAAACGACUGCUACUACCGCAUACUGAAGGAGGGGAUUGCGUGUGAUUAGCUAGUUGGAGGGGUAACGGCCCCCCAAGGCGAUGAUCAGUAGCCGGUCUGAGGAGAUGAACGGCCAAAAUGGGACUGGGACACGGCCCAGAAUCCUACGGGAGGCAGCAAGGGGGAAUGUUCCGCAAUGGAAGGAAGUCUGACGGAGCAACGCCGGGGGAGUGAUGACGGCCUUCGGGUUGUAAAGCUCUGUUAAUCGGGACGCGGUACCGGAAUAGAAAGCCACGGCUAACUACGUGCCAGCAGCCGCGGUAAUAC